AUAGGAAUUGCAUUACUAAUCAAGUUCUGAACAUCAAAGAAACUUUAGUAUAUAAUGUUUAACGGCGCAUCUAACCUUCAGAUUGAAGUGAUCAACGAUAUGAAUAAUUGACCCUCCACUGUCACAUGGACGGAUCACAUAUCACGAUGGAAGUAUCUCAGCUCAAAAAAACUAUGAAGUUGCUGAUGCACUUGGGCUAGUCGCAGUACCCGAAAGAUAUCUUUCACUGACUUUUAUGGAACAAGAAUGAAAAUGUUCAAAAAGAAAAAGAUGCAUGGCACUAUCCUCAAUAUAAAAACAUCAAGUUGACAAAGUUGUAACAACCCAUUUUAAUAGAAUCAUGACAUUUCUAACACAUAAUAGUUGAAUAGAUGCAAUAGCAGUUUACCUUGGUCAAGACAACCGUGAAGCAGCUUGCAAAUAAGGCUAUUUAUUCAUAUAUCUUUCUCUUUGUUUUGGAUCACUCUGUGUGCAAGUGCAACUUUCCCAGACAGGAAGGUUUAAUCAAUGAUGGAAAGGUUUUGUAGCGCUUAAGAAUGAGAAAAAAAUAGCUAUACAAGUUAUUCAAUGCUCAGUUCAUUCAAAUAUGGAGAUGAGUCUUUCAUUAGUUUAGUUCCAGAUAUGAAGAAAAUUAAACACAUGCAUCAUGAUUAUACCUCAGUCACUUGGUCAGAAGUUUAUAUUCAACUAUAGACAGGCAUAAUUUGACAUGGGACAAACAAGAUUUCCAUUUUCUAAUGUUGUUGUGUAUCUUAAAGUCCAAAAGUCACGAGCAGGAGCUAAUUUAGUUGGUGCAUCCGUCUGCAAAUAGCAUCUAAGGAUUUAUUUCUUCCACACAAGAACUUGAAUAAAGAAUAUUAUAGGACCAAGAUAUUUGAAAAAUUCACCUGUGUAUACAAAAGAUCAAUUGUUCCUCCACUUUCAGUAGGAAACUUUGUGAAAAAUUCAAGGCUUUGAC
rnacentral:lncRNA from 1 species